GACAAGUCCAGCCGCCGCCAUCACCUCUCUAUUUCUGUUGAUGGUGGCCAGCCGCUGGGUCGCGCAGAGGAGAAGAGGCAGAACCGUGCCCAACCACCGCCGCUUCUGCCGCCAAGAAACCCCGAUGUGCCUCUGGUUGCCGGGAGACGGUGUGGUUGCUGCAGGAGGUAGCCACCGGAGCCGCUGCUCCAUUCUGCCAUUCCUUUUCAUUACAGUUUGUUGCUGAGCCACUAGAGCUUCUGGCCACUGACAGAGCCGCUGCCAGGCUGAUAUAGAGCUGUGGCUGCCCCAUUUUGUUAUUUCAGUAAGUAAAUUAUGUUUGGAAAGCCCUGCGUUAGUGUUCUGUUCUGUGUAAUAAAGUAAUCAUAAUGUUAAUAGUUUUAGGAGCUAGAAUCCGGUUUGCUUGUGCCAUUUGGGGCUGUUUCUGCUUUUGAGAGAGCGAGCAUAGCCGAGAUUUUGAUUGCCAGUGAUUUCGGGUCGAGAUAAAAGGAGUUGGUUAACGAGUUGGGUUGUGGUUCCAAUGUUGUGAGGUAGGGGCGCUUUCCAAACACUAUGUUUUCUGUAUUGGAAUUAUUACAUAUGGAUACUGAUGUGAGAUAUUGUGUAUUUGGUGAUUGUAUCUGCCUUAAGUAUUAUUUGAUUGACUCGAAUGAUUAUGGAUGUUAAUUUGGCUAAA